rnacentral:rRNA from 1 species
CGGGUGAGUAACACGUGAGUAACCUCGCCCCCUUCCCUCUGGAUAACCGCAUGAAAGUGUGGCUAAUACGGGAUAUUCUGCGCCUGCUGCAUGGUGGGUGUGGGAAAGAUAUUGUUUCGGUGGGGGAUGGGCUCGCGGCCUAUCAGCUUGUUGGUGGGGUGAUGGCCUACCAAGGCGGUGACGGGUAGCCGGCCUGAGAGGGUGGACGGUCACACUGGGACUGAGACACGGCCCAG